rnacentral:rRNA from 1 species
CUGUAAGCCUGUGAAGGUGUACUGUGAGGUAUGCUGGAGGUAUCAGAAGUGCGAAUGCUGACAUAAGUAACGAUAAAGCGGGUGAAAAGCCCGCUCGCCGGAAGACCAAGGGUUCCUGUCCAACGUUAAUCGGGGCAGGGUGAGUCGACCCCUAAGGCGAGGCCGAAAGGCGUAGUCGAUGGGAAACAGGUUAAUAUUCCUGUACUUGGUGUUACUGCGAAGGGGGGACGGAGAAGGCUAUGUUGGCCGGGCGACGGUUGUCCCGGUUUAAGCGUGUAGGCUGGUUUUCCAGGCAAAUCCGGAAAAUCAAGGCUGAGGCGUGAUGACGAGGCACUACGGUGCUGAAGCAACAAAUGCCCUGCUUCCAGGAAAAGCCUCUAAGCAUCAGGUAACAUCAAAUCGUACCCCAAACCGACACAGGUGGUCAGGUAGAGAAUACCAAGGCGCUUGAGAGAACUCGGGUGAAGGAACUAGGCAAAAUGGUGCCGUAACUUCGGGAGAAGGCACGCUGAUAUGUAGGUGAAGUCCCUCGCGGAUGGAGCUGAAAUCAGUCGAAGAUACCAGCUGGCUGCAACUGUUUAUUAAAAACACAGCACUGUGCAAACACGAAAGUGGACGUAUACGGUGUGACGCCUGCCCGGUGCCGGAAGGUUAAUUGAUGGGGUCAGCGCAAGCGAAGCUCUUGAUCGAAGCCCCGGUAAACGGCGGCCGUAACUAUAACGGUCCUAAGGUAGCGAAAUUCCUUGUCGGGUAAGUUCCGACCUGCACGAAUGGCGUAAUGAUGGCCAGGCUGUCUCCACCCGAGACUCAGUGAAAUUGAACUCGCUGUGAAGAUGCAGUGUACCCGCGGCAAGACGGAAAGACCCCGUGAACCUUUACUAUAGCUUGACACUGAACAUUGAGCCUUGAUGUGUAGGAUAGGUGGGAGGCUUUGAAGUGUGGACGCCAGUCUGCAUGGAGCCGACCUUGAAAUACCACCCUUUAAUGUUUGAUGUUCUAACGUUGACCCGUGAUCCGGGUUGCGGACAGUGUCUGGUGGGUAGUUUGACUGGGGCGGUCUCCUCCUAAAGAGUAACGGAGGAGCACGAAGGUUGGCUAAUCCUGGUCGGACAUCAGGAGGUUAGUGCAAUGGCAUAAGCCAGCUUGACUGCGAGCGUGACGGCGCGAGCAGGUGCGAAAGCAGGUCAUAGUGAUCCGGUGGUUCUGAAUGGAAGGGCCAUCGCUCAACGGAUAAAAGGUACUCCGGGGAUAACAGGCUGAUACCGCCCAAGAGUUCAUAUCGACGGCGGUGUUUGGCACCUCGAUGUCGGCUCAUCACAUCCUGGGGCUGAAGUAGGUCCCAAGGGUAUGGCUGUUCGCCAUUUAAAGUGGUACGCGAGCUGGGUUUAGAACGUCGUGAGACAGUUCGGUCCCUAUCUGCCGUGGGCGCUGGAGAACUGAGGGGGGCUGCUCCUAGUACGAGAGGACCGGAGUGGACGCAUCACUGGUGUUCGGGUUGUCAUGCCAAUGGCACUGCCCGGUAGCUAAAUGCGGAAGAGAUAAGUGCUGAAAGCAUCUAAGCACGAAACUUGCCCCGAGAUGAGUUCUCCCUGACUCCUUGAGAGUCCUGAAGGAACGUUGAAGACGACGACGUUGAUAGGCCGGGUGUGUAAGCGCAGCGAUGCGUUGAGCUAACCGGUACUAAUGAACCGUGAGGCUUAACCUUACAACGCCGAAG